CUCAGCUGCAGUGAAAAGACUGUUGCAUGUCUCUGUGCAGCCUCUUAUCGCGGAGGUCUGGCUUCCGCUGCUGCUGCGCGGCCCCUCCCCCGCCCGCCCAGCCCCACCAGGAAGCCCAGGGCGGACUCGUGGAGCUCCUAAUGCACGCGGCGGCGAGGAAAACGCUCUUCAACUUUCGGCUGGCGCCCUCCCGCGCUUCCUCGGGCCCCAGGGUCGCCUGUCAACCGGACAGAGUCCGCAAAGGCGGGUGAUGGGUGCUUGCCCCGCGGCGCCGAGAGCAGGAGGAAGCUGGAGCCCGCGCGGGCGCCGUGGAUCCCCUCGGCCUCCCGUUGGUAUCUUCCAUCUCAUGCGUUCAACAUUGUAACCUCGCGGCGGGCGUGCAGACCGGACGCCCUCCAGCUACUUACUUCUACCGACUAGCUCGACACACUAGUGGGUUCGUUUUGAAAGAGGCCCUUGCACCGGGCUUUACAAGGAAGCCGGCAAGGUUAGAUUGAAGGUUAGAAGCCGAUUAGACUAGAAUCCUGCGAUCUGAUGAGACUGCCGCCUUAAAAUGCACCAAACAGUUUUUGAACCUGGAGGGCUAACAGGCGGGAAAAACAUCUUCAAGAUUGCCACUGUACAGCCUGUCCAGUUUUGGAAAUCCUUAGUGAAACUGUCACACAAGCACAAACACUCAUAUGUCAGCUUUCCUUCUACUUUGUAAAUAAUAUUUGUAAUUUACAAGCCACUCUAUUUCCAACUUUACACCAUGUGAUUUAGAGAAAGCAAAGCUCCCUCUUUAAAAAUAAUACAUUACUUUCUGAAAUACCGCGAUAUUCCACAGCAAGUAAGCCAUAUUGUCGCUAGAGCAAAUAAACCACAGCCCCACAUCAUAAUUCACUGGGUGCUGUAAGAUGUAACUUGGCUUCGCUUUGAAUGGAAAGAAUGCUGAACGUCUGUGAUAUGAUGAAGUUUUGGAGAUUGGGGGCAGGAUUUCCUUUGAAUGUAAGGAAUUCGGAUAACUUGUGCAACGAAGAUUCUAAUGAAAAACGUUUGUCCCAUGUUUGGGACACAAUUUGGGACAAAAAUGCUGGAUAUGGUACAACAUUCUUCCUGCAGGUUAGGUUGUGUUGAAGAAAGUGAGGCCAGCUCGCGGUGAAGGAAAAACAUCAGAAAGGUGCUAAAGUGCAGAAAUACCUUCCAGAGGCACUAACAGCCGACUUGAGUUCUUGACCUUUAGCUAGAUCCACAAAGCACUGAGUUAAAAUUGUACACUGAGCCCUUCCAGAACAAAUAGUUAAUUAAAUGGUGCCUCUUCCCAGAGUUAAUGGUUUAAAAGGACUCAAGUACCCACACAGUUUUAGCAAACUAAAAGAACACUGACACUUUCUCAGAGAACAGGAAUGGGGACUUUCUAUCUGCCCAUUAGUAACUACCCCAAGCUAUGAAGACUUCCAUUCCUCUUACUAAGCAUUCAGCAACUACAUUUAAUGCCUACUAUGCCAGUGAUGCAAGAAUGGAUAAGACAGUCCCUACACUCAAGGAUAACACCUCUACUAGGUGAGAGACAAACCAAUUAAUUCUGCAUAAGGGAUAAGUGCUAUGAUGUUGGAAGCAAUCCCACGAGGGCUCUGAGGAUGGUGAAGGAAGGGUUCCUGGAGGAUUUACAUUUAACUGGUGCCUUGAAAGAUGUGUAGAAGUUGGCAAGAUCAAAAGGGAGUAGAGUCCAGGUGGAGAAAAGAAAAGAGCAGGACAGGCUGGAUGGCGUGGCUCACACCUGUAAUCCCAGCACUUUGGGAGGCCAUGGAGGGUGGAUUGCUUGAGGCCAGGAGUUUGAGACCAGCCUGGGUGACAUUAAAAGACCCUGUCUCAAAGAAAAUGAAAAGAGUAGGGUAUACACAAGGGGCCUGCCAGCCUUCUCAGCCUUUCUAUGAGAAGCGAGGGGAGGGUAGUACAGGAAAGUGGCAGGAGAUGACGCUAAAAGUAGGUCUGUGUUAAUCUAACAAGUCUCAACUUUACUGUCAAAACUAAUGAGCUAGAAAAGUUUAGGCAGCAAGGGCCAGAGAUGGAGUCUAGACUUGUAUUGCAGAAAGUUCCUGUGACGGCAGCUUGGAGGGUGAAUGAGAGUGUGGGAUGGAGGGGUGAAUGGGUGUGGACAGACUGGAAAAAUGACUCAUGCAGGGAAUGAGGAAGGGAGGAGCCUUGGGAGACUCUCAAAUCCCUGGCUUAGCCUACUGAAUUGCUUACUACUUGCCUUUUAAUUUCUUCAUUUUGCCUCCCAUUGUCUAUGAUAUUAAAGGCCUAACUUCUUAGUAGAGCAACCUUUGCAUCUGCUAGCAGGUUGGUGUCCUAGCUGGCUUCCAUGCCCCUCUGCUUAGAAUGCCUGCAAACCACUAAGGACUAAUCCUGGUGGUAGAAAUUUAUUUUCAAUUGUUCUCAAACCCUUGUAGAAUUCCAAGUUAGAACUGUGGUGUUCUUUUAUCAUGUGGGUUAGAAAAUUUGCUGUUUGGAGCAACAUGGUGAAACAAAGGACGUUUGAACCUGUUUAUGGUGCAAAAGGGGAAAUUAUGUUUCUACUUCAACACUGGAGGAGGGGGGAACUUCUGGGAGCAAAAGAGAAAUUGAAACUGAGAUGAGACAUGUUUUUUGCUCCAUGACAGAAUACAAAGAAAUACAAGGAUGAUCCUUUAAUGUUAGAAACAGUAGAAUAACCAUCCUGGUAAAUAAAAAAGAAGAGAAAAACAUGUUAUUUUACAUUAGAUACAGAGAAAAACAUGGCUAAGAAAACUCAUAAAGCAAUGGUCAAUCUAUAACUCAAAAUGAGUCCAAAUAAAUUGUGAUAUAAAGCUACAUUACCACUGAUUUGGCCUAAUUUACUAUCAUUGAUAACAUAACAUGAAUGAUAAUAUUUAAAAUAUUAAAACACUGUAACAGACACCAGAUCAUAUGUUAAAACUAUUAAAUCAUGGUGUCAGCUUUCAACUGCCAGUAACAUCCUAACCACAUUUCAAACUAUGGAAAGUACUAAAAAAUCAUUAUAGUAAUAAAAAGUUAAUAGUUCCUCAUUUAGAAUACCAUUGAUAUUCCCUCAGUGCCAGGAGAACAUUAUAGUUACUCCUAUUUCUGUGAAGUGUAUAGUCCACAGGUUCAUAAGUGAGUAUAUCCGUGAGUAUAAAAAGAAGGUCAUUUGUGGGUGGAGAGGGAAAUUAUAGAAAACAAUUUCAGGUGAAAUAAACUACAUUUUCAGAUAAAGGAAAGAGUGUUCACUACAGGUUCCAGAAAUAUUUCAGUCCAUUCAAGUUUUAAUUAUACCAAUGAAUCUCAAGAGAAAUACAGUUAAGGGAUAUGGUUUUUAUAGAUAAUAUCAGCUCCUUGUUUACCAAUAAUAAAGAUAAAGAUAAUGGCA